GCCAGGCACAGUGGUGCGUGCCUGUAGUCCCAGCUACCCGGGAGGCUGAGGUGGGAGGAUCUCUUGAGCCCAGGAGUUCUGGGCUGUAAUGCGCUAUGCAGAUCGGGUGUCUGCACUAAGUUCGGCAACAAUAUGGUGACCUCCUGAGAGCAGGGAACCACCAGGUUGCCUAAGGAGGGGUGAACAGGCCCAAGUUGGAAACAGAGCUGGUCAAAACUCCCGUGCUGAUCACUAGUGGGAUCGCACCUGUGAAUAGCCACUGCACUCCAGCCUGGGCAACAUAACAAGACCCCAUCUCUA
ensembl:misc_RNA Metazoa_SRP Metazoan signal recognition particle RNA